rnacentral:misc_RNA from 1 species
CAGAAAUAAUUCAACCCAAACUAAAAAAUAAUUGGAUCCAAACCACAACUAAAAAAUGCAUCAAUCAAUUAUAAUGGCCCUCUCUCUUCUCUUCUUUCUCUUCCCUCAUUAUCCUUCAUUUAAAAUGGCCCAUUGUCCAUUGCAUUGUGUGGUAGAAAUUCCCUUGAUUCACAUGGGAUAUUAGACAGAUAACCUAAUAUCAACUAGGAAAUUUAAUGCAUCGGCUUGAAUUUGAGAUGGACCAGAGAUCACUUCGUUUUAUUUGCAUCGAAAGCUAGGUCGUUGUCUUUAUAUCCAGAUUGAAGAAGGGCCAUUUAGUUUUCAUUUUAUUGUAAAUAUACAGCCAAGGAUAGUGUCAGAAUCUCUCUACCACUUACAACUCGCUCGUAGCCAUGGACUAUCUUCUUUCAUUUCCCACAGAUGCUCUGGCUGCUGUAUUUGCCCUUCUGCUUUUGCUUUACUACCUAUCAAGAAACAGAAGGAAGAAGAAAGCUGCACCUGAAGCUGAAGGUGCUUGGCCUUUGAUUGGCCACCUGCAUCUACUCGGGGGACCGCAACCACCCCACAUGGUAUUGAGUAACGUGGCUGACAAAAUCGGACCAAUCUUCACCAUCAGGAUGGGUAUGCAUAUAACUUUGAUUGUAAGCAAUUGGGAGACGGCCAAAGAGUGCUUAACUACUAAUGAUAAAGUUUUCGCAACUCGUCCAAAAACUAUAGCCACUGAGAUUAUGGGCUACAAUCGUUCCAUGUUUGGUUUCAUCCCUUAUGGUCCAUACUGGCGUCAGGUUCGCAAGAUAGCCACACAUGAGCUUCUCUCAAACCACCGGCUCGAGAUGCUAAAAAAUGUUCGAGAAUCAGAGGUAAGAAAAUUUUUGAAAGAGCUGUACAAGUUAUGGGAUAAAAGCAAAAAUGGUUCAAAUAAGGUGUUGCUAGAGAUGAAGAGAUGGUUCGGAGACAUAAGCUUAAAUGUAAUUUUUAGGAUAAUUGUUGGGAAAUCUGUAGGAUAUAUGAGCACAAACGUUGGAGAAGAUAGUGAAGUAUGGAAACAAGCGUUGAGAGAUUUUUUUUAUUUGUCAGGGAGGUUUGUGCCGGCUGAUGCAGUUCCAUUUUUGAGGUGGUUGGACAUUGGCGGAUUCGAGAAGGCCAUGAUGAAGACUGCAAAAGAACUUGACCAUGUUGUUGAAGUGUGGUUAAAUGAGCAUAAGGAGAAGAGAGCUUCUGGUUUUAAUCAGGAAGAGGAGGACUUUAUGGACCUGAUGCUAAACAUUCUGGAUGAAACAGAAAUUGUUGAGGGUCCAGAUUCUGACACCAUGAACAAAGCCACAUGCCUGGUAAUCAGUGUUUCUGUACUGUCUACCUACCAUUUCCUUCGUCUUGAAAAGAAAAAUCAUAACAUUUUCUUCUAACAAAUUGCACUAAUUGGUUCAUUUUUGCCUACAUUUUACUGCUUUAAUUACAUUCCAGGGCCUUUUGUUAGCGGCUUCAGAUACAACGACAGUCACUUUGACGUGGGCUCUUUCUUUACUGGUCAAUAACCCUGAAGCCAGGAAGAAGGCCCAAAGUGAAUUGGACGUCCAUGUUGGAAGAGAAAGGCAAGUACAGGAAUCAGACAUGAAGAAUUUGAUCUAUCACCAGGCCAUCCUUAAGGAAACAAUGCGAUUAUACCCUGCUGGACCCCUUUCUUUGCCACAUGAGUCUACAGAACAUUGCACAGUAGGUGGCUAUAAUAUACCGGCAGGCACGAGACUUCUCCUCAAUAUUUGGAAAAUUCAUCAUGAUCCGCAAGUAUGGGAAAACCCUUUCGAGUUUCGACCAGAAAGAUUUCUCACAACCCAUAAGGAUAUUGAUGUUAGGGGCAAAAAUUUUGAAUUUAUACCAUUUGGCAGUGGCAGAAGGAUGUGCCCUGGAAUCUCAUUUGCGCUUCAAGUUAUGCAGCUAACACUAGCUAAGUUGCUGCAUGGUUUUGAUAUUGAAAAUCCAUCAGAUGAGCCAAUUGAUAUGACAGAAAGCAUUGGACUAACCAACCUUAGAGCCACUCCACUCGAAGUCCUCAUGAGUCCUCGCCUUCCGGCUCAUCUCUACUUAUGAUCAUUUGAUGUGUUAAGUAUACUAGUAUAGUACCCGCACAAUGUUGCGGGUGAUUUGUUAUGUGCGCAGUGUGGAUUCUUCUGUCUUCCUAAUAAAAUUUUAAUAUUAUACAUUUAUAAUAAAAAGAAUUAAAAAAAAUUAAAGUAGAUAUCAAAUAUAACUAUCUAAUAGACCAUAAAACUGAAUAUAAAAAUUUAUAUUUAAAGACAUAUACAUGGGCUCCGUCACCUGACCCCUAUAGUCCAAUGAUGUUGGCUCUAUCACCUGAUCACAUGGGCUUUUGUAGACAUUUAAUUUGAGCGUGAGUGCCAUCUUUGGGAUGUGCUUUAAGCGCUGGAGCAUUUGCAACCUAUGGAUAAUUAAUACAAUGUUUGCUGCAAAAUGCGAUUUCAUAGAUUCAAAUCAUAAUAGUUUCAAUAUACAUAGUCAUACAAGGUCGACAUUGAUUGGCCAAUUUAUUGAUAGAGAUGAGAUUGAAGGCGAGGACUAAGGAGGCAUUCAAGUGGGGUUGCUCUUAAGCUGGUUAAUCCAUUGCUCUCACUCAUAUCAAGCGGCUUGCUUGUUGGAUUUGCAAAAUCAAACCCCUGUAGCAACGUAGCUAGAGUUAAUUGCAAAACAUGAAGCGCAAAAGAGACACCAGGGCAUAUCCUUCUUCCACUGCCAAACGGUAUAAGUUCAAAGUUUUGUCCCCUAACAUCAUAAUCUUUGUGAAUCGUAAGAAAUCGUUCGGGUUGGAAUUCAGAAGGUUUGGACCACACCCUUGGAUCACGAUGAAUCUUGCUAAGAUUAAUAAGGAGUCUUGUGCCUGCUGGAAUAUGGUAGCCAGCUACAGUGCAGUCCUCCAUGGAUUCAUGCGGCAAAGAAAGCGGUGCAGCAGGGUAUAAACGCAGCGUUUCCUUGAUAAUGGCUUUGAGGUAAACCAAGCUAUUCAUAUCAGAUUCAUGUACUCGUCUUUUCUUACCAACAUUGAUGUCCAACUCGUGUUGGGCCUUCUUUAGGACAUUUGGGUUGUUGAUUAAUAAAGAGAGAGCCCAUAUCAACGUCACUGCCGUUGUGUCUGAUGCUGCCACAGUCAGACCCAGGGAUGUGGCUUUGUUGACGGUAUCGGAAUCUCGACCUACAACCAGCUGUGCAUCAUCAUCAAGAAUAUCCAGCAUCAGACCCAUGAAGUCUUCUUCUCCCUUCUUAACACCAGAAGCUUUCUUCUCCUUAUGCUCCUUUAGCCAUCCUUCAGCAAUAAGGUCCAAAUCUUUGGCUGUCUUCUUCAUGGCUCUUUCGUAUCCUCCAAUAUCCAGCCAUCUCAAAAAGGGUAUCGCAUCAGCCGCCACAAACUUCCCUGACAAAUCAAUGAAAUUCCUCAACGCUUCCUUCAAUCUUUCAUUAUCUUCGCCUUGAUUUGUAGUCAUAUAUCCCACAGAUUUCCCAAAAAUUAUCCUCAAGAUCACGUUCAAGGAUAUGUCUGCGAACCAUCUCUUCAUCUCCACCAACACCAUAUUUGAAUUAUUUUUCUUCUUUUCCCAUAAUCUAUACAACUCUUUUAAAGCUGUCCCCACCUCCGAUUCUCUUACAUGUUUCAGCAUCUCGAGUCGGUGGUUAGAGAGAAGUUCAAGUGUGGCUAUUUUGCGCGUUUGACGCCAGUAGUUGCCGUAUGAGCUAAACCCAAACAUGGCACGAUUAUAGGCCAAAAGGUCCAUGGCUAGAAUUUUUGGACGAUUAGCGAAAGCUCUAUCGUUGAUGGUCAGACACUCCUUGGCAAUCUCCCAGUUGCUCACUACCAAAGCUCGAUACAUGCCCAUCUUGAUAGUGAAGAUCGGACCGUAUUUGCCAGCCAUGUUGUCCAAUACUUUGUGGGGCGGUUGCGGCCCUCCUAGGUGGUGGAGGUGGCCAAUUAGAGGCCACCCUCCUCCAGCUUCUGGCGCUCCUUUUUUCUUCCCUGCAGUCCUUGAGAAUCUUCUUGAUAUCCAAAAGAUCAGGGAGCAGAUUAAGAUCAGGAAGUUCACGGUGGCCGUAGCAUUUGUGGGGAAGAUGAGAAACUUUUCCGUCGCUGGAGGGAACGGUAGAAAAUAAUCCAUUGCGUCUAUCUUGCUCAAAGUGGCGGAAAUCUUGAAGGACCUAUGCCUCGUUGACAAGUCUAUGGAAAUAAGGUUAAAUUUGAAUUAUGUUAAAUGUCUUUUGUAUUUUUUAUAAAAAUAAUUUAAUCUCUAAAUUAUAAUUCGU